CCUUGUACACACCGCCCGUCACACCAUGGGAGUUGGUUGCACCAGAAGUAGGUAGCUUAACCGCAAGGAGGGCGCUUACCACGGUAGGAUUCGUGACUGGGGUG
rnacentral:rRNA from 1 species